rnacentral:lncRNA from 1 species
UCUGGACAGUGCAGCAUGUUCGUCCCUUGUCUCUGUUGCCAUUCUACAUAUGGAGCCUUAGUCAAGUCUGAGUGCCACUGUAUUUAUCCAAAAACAUACAUGAAUUCCUCAUGAUCAAUUCAAGGCAGGAAGAGAGACUUCUAGCACUGGUUUUUGUGAUGUUGUUCAGUUUAUUGUGUUAAGUUGGGAAAACAGAGCUAUUGCUUAGCAACCCUGGACUAGGCAUAAAAUAAUUGAAGGUCCCAAAUGAGAAACAUUUGUAAUGGAAUCUGCCCUAACACUUGCUUUACCACAUGGCUUAGCACCCUUCUGCUCACACAUGGUUAAACACAUGUUGGAACUGAUGUUUUAAGACCUGCCUCACACACCUCUUUGUCUACAUAUCCUAGAACAUGUGCUUUGAUACUCUUGUGGUCUGAGGGGAAGAGGUCAACCAGAGUCGUGUCUGGGAUCUCUUUUUCCAAACAUUCCUAGGUUAGCAGCAUUCAGUCAAAGGUCAGCACCAUAUUAAGAAAGCCACAACUCUUUUUGCUAGAUUACACAAACAACAUGUGCCUAUUCAGUCUGUCUAGAGACGGCACAGCCAUGGUCUUCUGGGCCCAGCUGAUCACUGGCCUCCUUGGUACCUCAGCAGGGGCUACAGCAUCUCUCAGAAUUGUUUUGCACCUUAGCUGGUCCACUUAAGGUUUUCUAAAUAAUCAAUCUGUUCAGCCUUCCUCAGGCCCAGAUGCCGAAUUAAACAAGGCUUCCAUUUCAGUCACUAGCUUAAAUUCUCUGUCUUACUCGACAGUUUCAACACAGACAGCAGCUACUGUCACUUCCAGCAAGAGGGAUGUCUCUUCACUCUGACAGCAUAGGCUUGCCGUCCAUGCUGUCUUCGCUGGUUUGGGCAGAAUAUAAUAGAUACAAUACAAUACAAGAACAAAUACUGAUUUGCACAGUUUUAGAGUUUUAAAAGCCCAACAUUAAAGUGCUGGCAGAUAGUGUCUAGUGAGGGUCCACUCCCUAGUUUACAAAUUACUUUCUUCUUAUUGAGUCUUCACAUGGCCGACAGCAGAAUAGUUGGUAGCUCUAUCCAGUCAAAUAAUAGGAUGACAGCAACAUACCUUUCAACAGUGCUUUUGGCCUACAAGAUACAUUGUCUGCUUCCUUUUUUAUCCCUACUAGAAUGAAAAGUAACACAUGAAACCCAUUUCAUAGACUGGCAAAUGAAAACCCAGAUCGCUUCAGAACUCUGCUAAAAAUCAUAGAGCCAGUAGGUGGAUAAUGAGGUUAGAUGUUGAACGCAGGUUUCCUCACGUGUAAAUCAAAUAUUUUCCUGCUAUGCAACAAGGCCAACUCCUGUAAGACACGAGGUAUUGCCUGGAAAAGCCCUUCUUAUCAAAGAGUGUACAGAGAAGGCAGGAUGUGAUCAAAGCAAUGCCCACACGUGAAACUCAGUACGUCAGCCAUGUUGACACAGCUUAUAAGGAUCACCCCAGCAUCCAUUCGAUAGGUGUGCACACUAAGGCCUUACAUCAUAGUAAACGUACUCAAGUCAAAGAUGUAAUAAGUAGCAGUGCUAAGGUUUGAAUGCAAGCCUGACUCAAAAUAAAACCCAGGCUCUUAACCAUUGCCUAGGGCUCCCAACCAGCAACAAUAAAUGAGCUCAUCGACAAACCACACUAAUUGCAGAAGCACUUUGGGAUGAAGAAUAUUGUUUCCUCAUCAUUCCUGGUCAUAAAGGUUUGCGAUUGGAUUUUUCCAUUUUUAACAUGUGAAAGUGAAUCAAUAUAACAAAAAGUCAAGGUUUUGGAUAUUAUGGGAAAGCAUUUGUAAAUAAUCUCAGCCUUUAGUCUGUGCCUUUUAGUAACCUGCCAGAGUGUACACGGUCUGACUAUCUAACCAUGGUGUACACUGUCCAACUAUCUAACCGUGGUAUACACUGUCCGAUUAUCUAACCAUAGUGUACACUGUCCGACUAUCUAACCAUGGUGUACACUGUCUGACUAUCUACCAUGGUGUACACUGUCUGACUAUCUACCAUGGUGUACACUGUCUGACUAUCUACCAUGGUGUACACUGUCUGACUAUCUACCAUGGUGUACACUGUCUGACUAUCUACCAUGGUGUACACUGUCUGACUAUCUACCAUGGUAUACACUGUCCGACUAUCUAACCAUGGUGUACACUGUCCGACUAUCUACCAUGGUAUACACUGUCCAACUAUCUAACCAUGGUGUACACUGUCCGACUAUCUAACCAUGGUAUACACUGUGCGACUAUCUACCAUGGUGUACACUGUCCGACUAUCUACCAUGGUAUACACUGUCCGACUAUCUAACCAUGGUGUACACUGUCUGACUAUCUACCAUGGUGUACACUGUCCGACUAUCUACCAUGGUGUACACUGUCCGACUAUCUAACCAUGGUGUACACUGUCCGACUAUCUAACCGUGGUGUACCCUGUCUGACUAUCUACCAUGGUGUACACUGUCCGACUAUCUAACCACGGUGUACACUGUCUGACUAUCUACCAUGGUGUACACUGUCCGACUAUCUAACCAUGGUGUACACUGUCCGGUUAUCUAACCGUGGUGUACACUGUCUGACUAUCUACCAUGGUGUACACUAUCUGACUAGUACCCAUAUAAGCUUUGUUUUGCAGGUGACUUGUGCUUAUAGUUAUUGAACUUAAGAACCAUAUAUUUUUUGAGACUUUGGAUUUCUAAGAUUAUUAAUAGCUGCUAAAUUAAAUUAUUUAAAAAUAAAUUCUACCCUAUCUACAGGACUCUAAAAGGUCAAAAUUGAGCAAAGUGUGUAAAGAAUGCUGCCCUUGAGUGUGGCCAGUCCAAAUAGCAUUUUUCCUAAUUGUACAAAGAUUGCCUGGCCUAUCUUCACAAGUGACUUUCUUAACUUAAAGGUGACUAGAAUGCUUGAAUUCACUUUCCCUGUUUAAUUGGUUUGGGUCUGAAUGCAGAGACUAGCAGAGAGACAUUUAUUCACAGCAGGAUCAGCCAGGAAGAGCCGCCUGUGGAUGCUUGACUUGUAAAUAUAAGCAGGAAUUUGUGAUUACUUGGAAUGGUUGGAAGACCCAGAGGGAAAUUUAGAAGGCUCUUCAUUCUGUUCUCCCCUCCAAAUAGAAUUGUUAGUACUACUAGCAGGCAAGGCCCAAAAGAGGGUGCAGUUCUAGAAUAAAUAAAGUCUUUCUUUGGUUUUGUUGUAUUUUUAUGGCAUUUUAUUAUGUUGAAGUUCAAGAUCAAACCAUUGCAUCUUAGCAUAGCCUUUGCCAAACUUCCAAAACUGUAAGCACAAAACCCUCAGCCUUCUUUUCUUUUCUUGCCUAGAAACCUAGGUAGCACUGAGCCAAAAUCUGAACUUAUAAAGUGAGAUUAUACUUGAUUAGG